rnacentral:rRNA from 1 species
UACGAAGGGGGCUAGCGUUGCUCGGAAUUACUGGGCGUAAAGGGCGCGUAGGCGGAUAUUUAAGUCGGGGGUGAAAGCCCAGGGCUCAACCCUGGAAUUGACUUCGAUACUGGAUAUCUUGAGUUCGGGAGAGGUGAGUGGAAUGCCGAGUGUAGAGGUGAAAUUCGUAGAUAUUCGGCGGAACACCAGUGGCGAAGGCGACUCACUGGCCCGAUACUGACGCUGAGGCGCGAAAGCGUGGGGAGCAAACAGG